GACACAGGGUGCAAACGUUGUUCGGAAUUACUGGGCGUAAAGCGCGUGUAGGCGGCCCUGCAAGUCGGAUGUGAAAUCCCACGGCUCAACCGUGGAAGUGCAUUCGAAACUGCAGGGCUAGAGUCCUGGAGAGGAAGGUGGAAUGCUUGGUGUAGAGGUGAAAUUCGUAGAUAUCAAGCGGAACACCGGUGGCGAAGGCGGCCUUCUGGACAGUGACUGACGCUGAGACGCGAAAGCGUGGGGAGCAAACAGG
rnacentral:rRNA from 1 species